UCCCCCUGGGAAUGGGCAAAGAGAUACCUUUUUGGUGGUGUUCAUAUAUCAGUCAGGGGCAGAGCAGUUGGCAGUCUUUUGUUCAUCUUAGCUUGAUACCUGGCUUGAUGGCCGAAACUGUUUUAUGCCUAGGUCUCAUAA